UAGGAUGUAGCUCAGUGGCAGAGCCCAUGCCUAGCAUUCAUGAAGGUCUGGGUUCGAAUCCUUAGCAUCACAG
rnacentral:tRNA from 1 species